rnacentral:rRNA from 1 species
UACGAAGGGGGCUAGCGUUGCUCGGAAUUACUGGGCGUAAAGCGCACGUAGGCGGUCUUUUAAGUCGGGGGUGAAAUCCUGGAGCUCAACUCCAGAACUGCCUCGAUACUGGAAGACUCGAGUCCGGGAGAGGUGAGUGGAACUGCGAGUGUAGAGGUGAAAUUCGUAGAUAUUCGCAAGAACACCAGUGGCGAAGGCGGCUCACUGGCCCGGUACUGACGCUGAGGAGCGAAAGCGUGGGGAGCAAACAGGG